GGUCAGAUGGCCGAGCGGUUAUGGCGCCAGGUUAAGGUUUCCUUAGCGUUGUGAUACGUAGUAUCUUCCUGGUCACGAAAGUGGCGUGGGUUCGAGUCCCACUCUGAUCA